UCGGGAAGUAGCUCAGCUUGGUAGAGCACUUGGUUUGGGACCAAGGGGUCGCAGGUUCGAAUCCUGUCUUCCCGAU
rnacentral:tRNA from 35 species